GAUGAACGCUGGCGGCGUGCCUAAUACAUGCAGGUCGAGCGAACGGACGAGAAGCUUGCUUCUCUGAUGUUAGCGGCGGACGGGUGAGUAACACGUGGAUAACCUACCUAUAAGACCGGGAUAACUUCGGGAAACCGGAGCUAAUACCGGAUAAUAUUUUGAACCGCAUGGUUCAAAAGUGAAAGACGGUCUUGCUGUCACUUAUAGAUGGAUCCGCGCUGCAUUAGCUAGUUGGUAAGGUAACGGCUUACCAAGGCAACGAUGCAUAGCCGACCUGAGAGGGUGAUCGGCCACACUGGAACUGAGACACGGUCCAGACUCCUACGGGAGGCAGCAGUAGGGAAUCUUCCGCAAUGGGCGAAAGCCUGACGGAGCAACGCCGCGUGAGUGAUGAAGGUCUUCGGAUCGUAAAACUCUGUUAUUAGGGAAGAACAUAUGUGUAAGUAACUGUGCACAUCUUGACGGUACCUAAUCAGAAAGCCACGGCUAACUACGUG
rnacentral:rRNA from 1 species